rnacentral:lncRNA from 1 species
GGGACCUAUGACUCUGAAUCGAUUUAGUACCCAGACUGAUCAUCUAGUCAAUCACUUUCUUUUAUUAUUUAGUUUAUUAAAUUUAUGAAAUAAAAAUUGAUCAUAAUUUAAUAUUUUAAAUAGAAAUAUCUGAUUCAAUUAAGAAAGACUAAAGAUCUAGGAUGAUCGAGGUAAAUAGAUUUUACGCUCCUUAUUUAUUUUCAAAUAAUCA